rnacentral:rRNA from 1 species
UUGAACGCUGGCGGCAUGCUUUACACAUGCCAGUCGCACGGCAGCGCGGGCUUCGGCCUGGCGGCGAGUGGCGAACGGGUGAGUAAUACAUCGGAACGUGCCCAGUAGUGGGGGAUAGCUCGGCGAAAGCCGGAUUAAUACCGCAUACGACCUGAGGGUGAAAGCGGGGGAUCUUCGGACCUCGCGCUAUUGGAGCGGCCGAUGGCCGAUUAGCUAGUUGGUGGGGUAAAGGCCUACCAAGGCGACGAUCUGUAGCUGGUCUGAGAGGACGACCAGCCACACUGGAACUGAGACACGGCCCAGACUCCUACGGGAGGCAGCAGUGGGGAAUUUUGGACAAUGGGCGAAAGCCUGAUCCAGCAAUGCCGCGUGUGUGAUGAAGGCCUUCGGGUUGUAAAGCACUUUUGGCGGGAACGAAAAGGACUGUGCCAAUACCACGGUUCGAUGACGGUACCCGCAGAAUAAGCACCGGCUAACUACGUG